AUUGAACGCUGGCGGCAGGCCUAACACAUGCAAGUCGAGCGGAUGAAGGGAGCUCGCUCCUGGAUUCAGCGGCGGACGGGUGAGUAAUGCCUAGGAAUCUGCCUGGUAGUGGGGGAUAACGUCCGGAAACGGGCGCUAAUACCGCAUACGUCCUGAGGGAGAAAGUGGGGGAUCUUCGGACCUCACGCUAUCAGAUGAGCCUAGGUCGGAUUAGCUAGUUGGUGGGGUAAAGGCCUACCAAGGCGACGAUCCGUAACUGGUCUGAGAGGAUGAUCAGUCACACUGGAACUGAGACACGGUCCAGACUCCGACGGGAGGCAGCAGUGGGGAAUAUUGGACAAUGGGCGAAAGCCUGAUCCAGCCAUGCCGCGUGUGUGAAGAAGGUCUUCGGAUUUUAAAGCACUUUAAGUUGGGAGGAAGGGCAGUAAGUUAAUACCUUGCUGUUUUGACGUUACCAACAGAAUAAGCACCGGCUAACUUCGUG
rnacentral:rRNA from 1 species